UACGGGGGGGGUAAGCGUUGUCCGGAAUUAUUGGGCGUAAAGAGCUUGUAGGCGGUUUGUCGCGUCUGCUGUGAAAUUUCGGGGCUCAACCCCGAACUUGCAGUGGGGUACGGGCAGACUAGAGUGUGGUAGGGGAGACUGGAAUUCCUGGUGUAGCGGUGAAAUGCGCAGAUAUCAGGAGGAACACCGAUGGCGAAGGGCAGGUCUCUGGGGCCACUACUGACGCUGAGAAGCGAAAGCAUGGGGAGCGAACAGG
rnacentral:rRNA from 1 species